rnacentral:rRNA from 1 species
AUUGAACGCUGGCGGCAGGCCUAACACAUGCAAGUCGGGCGCGCGGCGGACGGGUGAGUACUGUAUGGGGCUCUGCCUGAUGGCGGGGGAUAACUACUGGAAACGGUAGCUAAUACCGAAUACCCUCCGAUGAACCCAUAUGGGAUUUCAUAGUGGGUGAGGUAACGGGUUACCUAGGCGACGAUCCCUAGCUGGUCUGAGAGGAGGAUCAGCCGCACUGGGACUGAGACACGGCCCAGACUCCGACGGGAGGCAGCAGUGGGGAAGAUGGCACAAUGGGCGCAAGCCGGAUGCAGCCAUGCCGCGUGUAUGAAGAAGGCCGUCGGGUUGUAAAGUACUUGCAGUCGGGAGGCGUUACCGACAGAAGAAGCACCGGCUAACUCCGUGCCAGCAGCCGCGGUAAUAC